rfam:Hirsutella minnesotensis 3608 unplaced genomic scaffold MNSD_Scf_611, whole genome shotgun sequence.
GCCCGUGAAGCUCAAUUGGUCGAGCAGAACUUUGAAGCAGUUUUGGUUGUAAGUUCAAGUCUUACCUCGGGCA